UCGCUUUCUCCUAGAAUGACUGUAGGAGCAUCACAUGAGAACUUGUGAAUUGCUGUCUGCCAGGGAAGGGAUGAAACACCCUGCACAUGACAGUUUACUUAGACCAGACACUUCCACUCAAAAGCUUUACAAAAUGGAAAACAGGAAAGAUGACAACAGAAGACUAGCUAUGAACUAACUUGCUUAAGGAGGUGGUCUACCAGCAAGUUUGUGUUAAGUGAACCGAGAGACCUGUACCACCCUUUGGCAGCAGCCACUUCACAGCAUGGAUCCUUCUUGUUUAUUUCAAACCACAACUAAUUGAAAGUAGACUUACUACUCAGUUCUUGUGAACAAA